GAUGAAGAGGAACAAGAAGACUCAUUGGAGUUUGGGACAAGGUUUGGUAAUGUCAUUAUUGUUGACAAUCUUUCUGUUGUGCUUCCUGAGAAGUUUGAGAAACUUGAAGGUGUUGUUCAUAAGAUUUUUGGCCAGAUUGGAACAAUCAGGGACAAGGGUUUGUGGAUGCCUGUUUAUCCCGAGACAUAGAAGACUAAAGGUCAUUAUUUUAUAGAGUACAACACUCCUUAGGAGGCACAAACAAUGAAAGAUCAAACAAAUAUAUAUAAGAUGAACAAAGGACACAUUUUUGUUGUUAACAUGUUUGAUUACUUUGAGAAAUACAUGAAAGUAUCAGACAAAUGGGUUCCUCCUAAAACCAAAACAUAUUCUCCCAUUGUAUGUACUCCUUUUUAUUCUUUGUUUUUGUAUAACAAAUUCAGUUUGUUUGAA